rnacentral:rRNA from 1 species
GACGAACGCUGGCGGCGUGCUGAACACAUGCAAGUCAAACGGAAAGGCCUUUUCGGAGGUACUCGAGUGGCGAACGGGUGAGUAACACGUGGGUGAUCUGCCCUGCACUCUGGGAUAAGCCUGGGAAACUGGGUCUAAUACCGGAUAGGACCGCACUUUAGUGUGUGUGGUGGAAAGUUUUUUCGGUGUAGGAUGAGCCCGCGGCCUAUCAGCUUGUUGGUGGGGUAAUGGCCUACCAAGGCGGCGACGGGUAGCCGGACUGAGAGGUUGGUCGGCCACAUUGGGAAUGAGCUACGGGCCAGACUCCUGCGGGAGGCCGGCGUGGGGAAUAUUGCACCAUGGGCGCCAGCCUGAUGCAGCGAAGCAGCGUGGGCGAUGACGGCCUUCGGGUUGUAAACUCCUUUCGCCAGGGACGAAGCGUUUUGUGACGGUACCUGGAGAAGAAGCACCGGCUAACUACGUG